AAAAAAAAAAAAACUUGAAAUAGGAACUUCACCGUCUCUUAAGAGCGAUAUAUUUAAUACAUUCACAAGAUUCGAAAUGAAAAACAAACAUUAUUCAUGCUACAGGUUUUUAAUUUUCCUUGGACAACACCAAAAACACAGUACUCAAACGGCAUGUUUUUUUUUUGUUUUUUUGGUUUCUUUUUGAGAUGGAAUUUCACUCUUGUUGCCCAGGCUGGAGUGCAAUGGUGUGAUCUUGGCUCACUGCAACCUCCGCCUCCCGGGUUCAAGAGAUUCGCCUGCCUCACAGGCGCCCACCGCCACACCUGGAUAAUUUUUGUUUUUUGUUUUUUUUUUUGAGACGGUGUCUCACUCUGUCGCCCAGGUUAGAGUGCAGUGGCACCAUCUCAGCUCACUGCAAGCUCCGCCUUCCAGGUUCAUGCCAUUCUCCUGCCUCAGGCUCUCGAGUAGCUGGGACUACAGGCGCUCACCACCACGCCCGCCUAAUUUUUUCUAUUUUUUAAUAGAGACGGGGUUUCACCCGUGUUAGCCAGGAUGGUCUCGAUUUCCUGACCUCGUGAUCCACCCGCCUAGGCCUCCCAAAGUGCUGGGAUUACAGGCAUGAGCCGCCGCGGCCGGCAAUUUUUGUAUUUUAAGUGGAGAUGAGGUUUCACCAUGUUAGCCAGGCUGGUCUUCAGCUCCUGACCUCAGGUGAUCCAUCCGCCUUGGUCUCCCAAAAUGCUGGGAUUACAGGCAUGAGCCACUGUGCUCGGCCUGCAGGUUUUAACAAGAGGAGCAUGAACUAUCAUUUUGACACAAAGACAGCUUAAAAAAAAGAUGUGUGCCGCCAUGCUAAUUUUUAAA
rnacentral:lncRNA from 10 species